UCGCUUCAGCAGCAGAUAUACCGAAAUGGGAACCAGGCAGAGAAGAGUAGCAUAGCUCCUUGCACAAGGAUGACACACAAAUUUGUCAAUCGUCUUAUUUAGUU